rnacentral:rRNA from 1 species
CAGCAGCCGCGGUAAUACAGAGGGUGCGAGCGUUAAUCGGAUUUACUGGGCGUAAAGCGUUCGUAGGCGGCUUCUUAAGUCGGAUGUGAAAUCCCUGAGCUUAACUUAGGAAUUGCAUUCGAUACUGGGAAGCUAGAGUAUGGGAGAGGAUGGUAGAAUUCCAGGUGUAGCGGUGAAAUGCGUAGAGAUCUGGAGGAAUACCGAUGGCGAAGGCAGCCAUCUGGCCUAAUACUGACGCUGAGGUACGAAAGCAUGGGGAGCAAACAGGAUUAGAUACCCGCGUAGUCCCUGUCUCUUAUAC